rnacentral:piRNA from 1 species
UCAAAGUUGCAGUCUCCAUAUCCGAGC